rnacentral:rRNA from 1 species
UACGUAGGUGGCAAGCGUUAUCCGGAUUUAUUGGGUGUAAAGGGCGUGUAGGCGGGAAUGCAAGUCAGAUGUGAAAACUAUGGGCUCAACCCAUAGCCUGCAUUUGAAACUGUAUUUCUUGAGUGCUGGAGAGGCAAUCGGAAUUCCGUGUGUAGCGGUGAAAUGCGUAGAUAUACGGAGGAACACCGGUGGCGAAAGCGGCUCUCUGGCCUGUAACUGACACUGAGGCUCGAAAGCGUGGGGAGCAAACAGG